AUGUGGAGAGCAGAGAAACAGGAAGAGAGUCCCUCGGAGGAGAAAAGCCGGGGCGGGGAGAUCGAAAGUGAAAGAAAUCUUCUUCCUGGAGGCGUUUCCCUUCCUGCUCCCCUCCUCCCUCCCUGUUUCACGGGACUUUUCUCUGGCUGUGUGGACAAGCCUCAGGAAUUUGAGUGUGUGAAGUUAGGCUGUUCAGGGGUCUUGGCUUGGGGACCCGGUGACUGUGAUGUUGCCGGGACUGGUUGGAGAAGGUCCCACUCCCUAACCACUGCGAGGGAACACAUGGUGGACAGGCUCCACAAUCCUGUAUGAGGACUACGUAAGAACCUGGCCACCAAUCCUUGGCCUGAUCCAUCUCGCAAGCCUUUGCCAAUCCGAUAGGUAUAAAGUGGGUAUCUCGUUGCUUCAUUUUGCGUGUCCCCGAUUACUGAUGAGUUUAACCAUCACUUGGUACCUUUGGCUAUUUGAGCAUCCUAUCAGGGAGCUCCACGUUUGUAUCCAUUGUCAGGGAGCUCCACGUUUGUAUCCAUUGUCCUUCUUUUCCUGUUGAUUUGCAGGAAACGUUUGUAUGUUCUGGAUCUUGCUACUCCCGUGGCAGGUCCUGGGAACACGGACAUGAAAGAUGUGGUACCUGACCUGUGAGGCUCACAGCCCAGGAUAGGAACUAGUCACAAAAUAGCAAGACAAGUGCUGGGGUGGAUGCUCAGGAAGCAUCAAGAAAGAGCCAGGGAACACCUCCUGGGCGCGGAUUUAGCCACUGACAGGCUUUCAUUCCCUUGCUGUGUUCUCACACGGGCUUUGCAGGUGGAAUCAAGCGGUCGUGAGGGGCUUCAUAUUACCGUGGCACCCUUGCCUCGCCUGUUAAGGCGAAGAGGCGCUUCCACACACCUUGUCUCAUCCUCUCAGCUCUCACGUGAGCCUCUGCCCUCCAAAAGCUUAUGUUCCUUUUGGGGAAAGAAAAAAGGCAGUUUCAGAGAAGAGAGGUACUUGAUUUUUUUCCCCUACUUUUAACAUCAGAAAACAUUUCAACCAACUCACAGCAAAAAGAAAAGGCUAAGAUGUGUUCACAUCACCAGGGCCCAGACCACGGUGAGGGCCCCAGGAUUUGCCUCUGUGGUAAGGUCUGCUGGGCCUCCUUGGAGGAAGGCCUUUGGUUCUAGAAUUUUCUAGACUGCUAAGGGGGGAAUCUAGUGGCCUCGGGGCCCAUGGAGGUGAUCCUUGUGUUUGAGUGCAGGUGGGAAACUGCAGGAGUUAGCUGUAGGAGUUAGCAAGCCGUGAGAGCCGUGGGGAGGGCCCGCAGUUCUCAGAUCUC
rnacentral:lncRNA from 1 species